GAUGAAGAACAUAGCGAAAUGCGAUAAGUAAUGUGAAUUGCAGAAUUCAGUGAAUCAUCGAAUCUUUGAGCGCACAUUGCGCCCGCCAGUAUUCUGGCGGGCAUGCCUGUUCGAGCGUCAUUUCAACCAUCAAGCCCCCGGCUUGUGUUGGGGACCUGCGGCUGCCGCAGGCCCUGAAAAGCAGUGGCGGGCUCGCUGUCACACCGAGCGUAGUAGCAUACAUCUCGCUCUGGGCGUGCUGCGGGUUCCGGCCGUUAAACCACCUUCAUAACCCAAGGUUGACCUCGGAUCAGGUAGGAAGACCCGCUGAACUUAAGCAUAUCAAUAAGCGGAGGA
rnacentral:misc_RNA from 1 species